rnacentral:snRNA from 1 species
AUACCUUCUCGGCCUUUUGGCUAUGAUCAAGUGUAGUAUCUGUUCUUCUACGGCUGGGCCUGCCUGCUGCCAGGACGGUACAUGCCCUGAAUGAGUGGGCAAUCCCAGUUGCGCAGUAUGCGUGUGGUGCUGGUGUCAUCUCUC